rnacentral:lncRNA from 1 species
GUCAGCGCAAGGGUCAUUUCGUCGCUGGGAAGGGACGGCCCUCGCCCGCGGUGAUGGUGGUUAGCAAGAUGAACAAAGAUGCGCAGAUGAGAGCAGCGAUUAACCAAAAGUUAAUAGAAACUGGAGAAAGAGAACGCCUCAAAGAGUUGCUGAGAGCUAAAUUAAUUGAGUGCGGCUGGAAGGAUCAGUUGAAGGCACACUGUAAAGCCCUGGUACCUGACAGUGUAAAGAAGGAGCUCCUACAGAGAAUCAGAACAUUCCUUGCUCAGCAUGCCAGUCUUUAAGGGGGAAUUAGAAUGUGCUGGUCUGUGGAUUUAUUUCUGAAAGUAAAACUUGCCAUAAUUAGAAAUUGAUUUCCCAAAAUAAAGUCCUUUUUUGUAUGAUGGUAUACAGUUUUCAGUAAUGAUGUAUACAUUGUAUUGAUUUUUUCCCUAAAUGUGUUAUUUUAAUAAAUAUCUCAUGAAUAAGCUUC